rnacentral:rRNA from 1 species
GGGUUGUGAGGUUAAGCGACUAAGCGUACACGGUGGAUGCCCUGGCAGUCAGAGGCGAUGAAGGACGUGCUAAUCUGCGAUAAGCGUCGGUAAGGUGAUAUGAACCGUUAUAACCGGCGAUUUCCGAAUGGGGAAACCCAGUGUGUUUCGACACACUAUCAUUAACUGAAUCCAUAGGUUAAUGAGGCGAACCGGGGGAACUGAAACAUCUAAGUACCCCGAGGAAAAGAAAUCAACCGAGAUUCCCCCAGUAGCGGCGAGCGAACGGGGAGCAGCCCAGAGCCUGAAUCAGUGUGUGUGUUAGUGGAAGCGUCUGGAAAGGCGCGCGAUACAGGGUGACAGCCCCGUACACAAAAAUGCACAUGCUGUGAGCUCGAUGAGUAGGGCGGGACACGUGGUAUCCUGUCUGAAUAUGGGGGGACCAUCCUCCAAGGCUAAAUACUCCUGACUGACCGAUAGUGAACCAGUACCGUGAGGGAAAGGCGAAAAGAACCCCGGCGAGGGGAGUGAAAAAGAACCUGAAACCGUGUACGUACAAGCAGUGGGAGCACGCUUAGGCGUGUGACUGCGUACCUUUUGUAUAAUGGGUCAGCGACUUAUAUUCUGUAGCAAGGUUAACCGAAUAGGGGAGCCGAAGGGAAACCGAGUCUUAACUGGGCGUUAAGUUGCAGGGUAUAGACCCGAAACCCGGUGAUCUAGCCAUGGGCAGGUUGAAGGUUGGGUAACACUAACUGGAGGACCGAACCGACUAAUGUUGAAAAAUUAGCGGAUGACUUGUGGCUGGGGGUGAAAGGCCAAUCAAACCGGGAGAUAGCUGGUUCUCCCCGAAAGCUAUUUAGGUAGCGCCUCGUGAAUUCAUCUCCGGGGGUAGAGCACUGUUUCGGCAAGGGGGUCAUCCCGACUUACCAACCCGAUGCAAACUGCGAAUACCGGAGAAUGUUAUCACGGGAGACACACGGCGGGUGCUAACGUCCGUCGUGAAGAGGGAAACAACCCAGACCGCCAGCUAAGGUCCCAAAGUCAUGGUUAAGUGGGAAACGAUGUGGGAAGGCCCAGACAGCCAGGAUGUUGGCUUAGAAGCAGCCAUCAUUUAAAGAAAGCGUAAUAGCUCACUGGUCGAGUCGGCCUGCGCGGAAGAUGUAACGGGGCUAAACCAUGCACCGAAGCUGCGGCAGCGACGCUUAUGCGUUGUUGGGUAGGGGAGCGUUCUGUAAGCCUGUGAAGGUGUGCUGUGAGGCAUGCUGGAGGUAUCAGAAGUGCGAAUGCUGACAUAAGUAACGAUAAAGCGGGUGAAAAGCCCGCUCGCCGGAAGACCAAGGGUUCCUGUCCAACGUUAAUCGGGGCAGGGUGAGUCGACCCCUAAGGCGAGGCCGAAAGGCGUAGUCGAUGGGAAACAGGUUAAUAUUCCUGUACUUGGUGUUACUGCGAAGGGGGGACGGAGAAGGCUAUGUUGGCCGGGCGACGGUUGUCCCGGUUUAAGCGUGUAGGCUGGUUUUCCAGGCAAAUCCGGAAAAUCAAGGCUGAGGCGUGAUGACGAGGCACUACGGUGCUGAAGCAACAAAUGCCCUGCUUCCAGGAAAAGCCUCUAAGCAUCAGGUAACAUCAAAUCGUACCCCAAACCGACACAGGUGGUCAGGUAGAGAAUACCAAGGCGCUUGAGAGAACUCGGGUGAAGGAACUAGGCAAAAUGGUGCCGUAACUUCGGGAGAAGGCACGCUGAUAUGUAGGUGAAGCGACUUGCUCGUGGAGCUGAAAUCAGUCGAAGAUACCAGCUGGCUGCAACUGUUUAUUAAAAACACAGCACUGUGCAAACACGAAAGUGGACGUAUACGGUGUGACGCCUGCCCGGUGCCGGAAGGUUAAUUGAUGGGGUUAGCGGUAACGCGAAGCUCUUGAUCGAAGCCCCGGUAAACGGCGGCCGUAACUAUAACGGUCCUAAGGUAGCGAAAUUCCUUGUCGGGUAAGUUCCGACCUGCACGAAUGGCGUAAUGAUGGCCAGGCUGUCUCCACCCGAGACUCAGUGAAAUUGAACUCGCUGUGAAGAUGCAGUGUACCCGCGGCAAGACGGAAAGACCCCGUGAACCUUUACUAUAGCUUGACACUGAACAUUGAGCCUUGAUGUGUAGGAUAGGUGGGAGGCUUAGAAGUGUGGACGCCAGUCUGCAUGGAGCCGACCUUGAAAUACCACCCUUUAAUGUUUGAUGUUCUAACGUUGACCCGUAAUCCGGGUUGCGGACAGUGUCUGGUGGGUAGUUUGACUGGGGCGGUCUCCUCCUAAAGAGUAACGGAGGAGCACGAAGGUUGGCUAAUCCUGGUCGGACAUCAGGAGGUUAGUGCAAUGGCAUAAGCCAGCUUGACUGCGAGCGUGACGGCGCGAGCAGGUGCGAAAGCAGGUCAUAGUGAUCCGGUGGUUCUGAAUGGAAGGGCCAUCGCUCAACGGAUAAAAGGUACUCCGGGGAUAACAGGCUGAUACCGCCCAAGAGUUCAUAUCGACGGCGGUGUUUGGCACCUCGAUGUCGGCUCAUCACAUCCUGGGGCUGAAGUAGGUCCCAAGGGUAUGGCUGUUCGCCAUUUAAAGUGGUACGCGAGCUGGGUUUAGAACGUCGUGAGACAGUUCGGUCCCUAUCUGCCGUGGGCGCUGGAGAACUGAGGGGGGCUGCUCCUAGUACGAGAGGACCGGAGUGGACGCAUCACUGGUGUUCGGGUUGUCAUGCCAAUGGCACUGCCCGGUAGCUAAAUGCGGAAGAGAUAAGUGCUGAAAGCAUCUAAGCACGAAACUUGCCCCGAGAUGAGUUCUCCCUGACUCCUUGAGAGUCCUGAAGGAACGUUGAAGACGACGACGUUGAUAGGCCGGGUGUGUAAGCGCAGCGAUGCGUUGAGCUAACCGGUACUAAUGAACCGUGAGGCUUAACCUUACAACGCCGAAGCUGUU